UGCCCUUUUUAUUUAUUUGCGUUGUGGCUUUUUAUUUGCGUUGUCGCCUUUUCUUUACUUGCGUUGUGACUUUUUUUACUUGCGUUGUGACUCUUUUUUUUACUUGUGUCGUGACUUUUUUACUUGCGUUGUGACUUUUUUAUUUGCGUUGUGACUUUUUUUACUUGCGUUGUUAGUUUUUUUAUUUGCGUUGUGACUUUUUUAUUUGCGUUGUGAGUUUUUUUAUUUGCGUUGUGACUUUUUUAUUUGCGUUGUGAUUAUUUUUGUUUGCGUUGUGACUUUUUUAUUUAUGCGUUGUGAGUUUUUUAUUUGCGUUGUGAUUAUUUUUGUUUGCGUUGUGACUUUUUUACUUGCGUUGUGACUUUUUUAUUUGCGUUGUGAUUAUUUUUGUUUGCGUGGUGACUUUUUUACUUGCGUUGUGACUUUUUUUUAUUUGCGUUGUGACUUUUUUAUUUACGUUGCGAUUAUUUUUGUUUGCGUUGUGUCUUUUUUACUUGCGUUGUGACAUUUUUAUUUGCGUUGUGAUUAUUUUUGUUUGCGUUGUGUCUUUUUUACUUGCGUUGUGACAUUUUUAUUUGCGUUGUGUCUUUUUACUUGCGUUGUGACUUUUUUAUUUGCGUUGUGACAUUUUU